GCGAGGGUACCCAAGCGGCUAAGGGGAUCGCCUGCAGAGCGAUUUUAUCAUGGGUUCGAGUCCCAUCCCUCGCU
rnacentral:tRNA from 1 species